GCCAAUCAGGGCUUUGGUAUCUGUCUGCCUAUUCGGUUAAUGUCUACACACCGAUGGUCCUUUUUUGCUAACAUCUGGGGGCCUAUGUCUUAACUGCCCCUUGCCCAUGAUGGUGACAAAUGCGUUGCAGUUAAUUGUUUUAUUCUAGGAUUUUUGCAGAAGUCACUUCUGCAAAGGCUGCAAAGCAGAAUGUCAGUGCAUGUCCCCUCUAAGCUGCAGAACAGGAUGUCAGUGCUGUUUGAUCUUGGCUGUCCUGACUCCAUCUUUUCUUGCUUGGGACCCUGGCUCUGACUACCUCACUGUUCAGCUGCCUCCUAACAAUUGGGACUGCACCGCUCCAGUCCUGUGCUCCUCACGGAACCAGCAGACUUCACUUUACAGGCUUGGUGAUCAUCCAGAGGGAGCCUUGAUGACAGAAGGAAGCCGGGUGUACCCGGAGCACCGAGAGCCCCCGCCCCCGAGAUGAGGUGUCUCCAUCCUCCAGCAGCACCUCGCUGGGCUCCACUAGCAACUGUGCCGGUGGCGUUCCCGGGGCCACGCUGAGGUCCCCUCUCCUCCGGCAGCUGCGGGCUUACUGCCUUCGGCUGCUUGGUGUGCGGGCAGAGACACCCAGCAUCGCUCGAGGAACAGUGCCUAUGCGGGCUCUUCACUUAAUUGAGCUGCCCUUCCCCUCAAUUAGUUCAAGUUCUGACCUUUCUGUAAAUGUAGUGUUGUCUAGGCUUUAAUCACCACCCCAGGCUGGGCCUGCUGGGCUGGUACUGAACACAGGAGCAACAUCUCCACCUUGAUGUCUGAGCUGGCGGGCGGCUCCCAACGCCGGCUCCCUGGGAGCUUGGUGCCCCCUCUCUGCUCUCUUCCUCUGCCGCCCCUCCUCUGAAGUGAUGGCCCCUUCAUUCUGCCUUGGGUCUCUGAGAAGCUGGCACCAGCCUGUACCCGCCGCUCACCCCAGCUCCUGUGCCGCCUCCAUUAUCUCACUUAAGACCCAGAACAACUCCGGGAAGGCAUCACCUCCCCAUGUGAGGGAGCUGGGGCCAGAGAGGAGAUGACUCACUCAAGGCCCAUUCAACCAGUAAAACUGUCUGCGUCCAGAGAGUGUGUUCUCUUGCCAACACCAGUCAGGACUCG
rnacentral:lncRNA from 1 species